UUGGUUUGCCAAGAAGCAACUAAAUAUUUGUUUGUUAUUUUUAUCCAAAUGUGUCAUUGAUUUUCCUGGAUCCCUCUUUAUUUUCUCUGACGUGGUCAUCAGUUUGUUGCUGGUUUUCUGGUCAGCAUGUCAGGUUAGCUUGAGGCAGAGUCUAUUCCUCUGCGUUGAAAGGUGGUGUGUUGUUACCACAAACCUGUUAAGCGUGGCUGAUGCUAUUACACAAGGCUGUGUGCUGGCAAUUACCGUGUCAUGCUCUUUAAUGAGAACAGGUACUGUUGUGCGUGUGUGAUUACUUCUGCGUGGAGGCAAGGUGAAGACUAACCUACUGACCUUCUGACUCAACACAUGCUAUUGGACUUACAUUAAAGCAGUGGCCGUAUCUAGGUACCAGAAUAUCAUAGAGCCACCAUAUAGGCAAUGCAUGAGAAAUCAAAACCCUCAUCGUCUUCAAAAAACACUAAAAUAUUUUACUUUCGAAAAUGAAUACAAAAUUUAAGGUCACAUUUUGUUCAUAUUUUGUUUUCCAGACCAGUGCACAGUAACAAGAUCAUACCUGUUCCUGCACAAAUUUUGGUUCUUCAGCACCAUCUACUAUUUUGGCAACUGGGCUUUCCUUGUGGUCUUCCUUAUUGGUUUGGUUGUUUCAUGCUGUAAAGGGAAGAAAUCUGUAAUCGAAGGGGAAGUUGAUGCAGACGAUUCAGAUGUCAGUGAUGAUGAAUAUGUGCAUUAACUUUGUACUAAAAGUCCUGUUUUUACUUUGUUUGGUUGCUAGUCAGAGCUGGAAUGAAAAACAAUUAAAAUAGUUCUUCAUCUUCACGCAGCACAUAUUUCGUUCUUCAUUCAGAGAGAGAAAUAUUGCUGUUCUGUAAGAUUCAAUUGAAUAUGUUAUGAUGCCAAGUAGGUUCUGUGUCACUAGGCAUUUUCAUGUUAAACUGAUAGUAGUAGUCUGAUAUGCUAACCUGUCUUUACUACUGACCCUUACUUCUAAUGAAGGGUGUGUAUGUGUGUCAUUUUGCAUUGCACUCUAAAAUAAAUCAACAACAAAAAUUGUUAAAUUUAGUUAGAAAUAAGUUUAAAAGAUUCAAAUAUUUUUUUGUUAAUAUGAAUAAAAGGCUCGAGAUCCUUCUGCUGAUUUAUUUAUUGAGUGUUUUUUUUUAAGCUGUGCAUAUCUGUAAUUUGUGUUUCUGAAGUGUGUUACUUUAAUCUCUGAGGUUGAAUUGCUAUCAUACUGCUUGUGGACAACAGUUGAUUUAUUUCACAUAAGUUUACAUUUUGGAAUUAUUUGACUGAACUUGCACUUUUCUAGAGAUGAUGAUUAAGAUUGUGUAAAAAAUGUAUUUAUCAUACAGUAUUGGCCUGUUUUGUGGUUUCCUGAAAUUAACAUUUAUUAUGCAAGAUGCUUCUGUUAUAAUGCAGUUUUGUGUCAUUAAUAAAGCUUACAACAGUA